GUGGGGAAUCUUGCGCAAUGGGCGAAAGCCUGACGCAGCCAUGCCGCGUGGAUGAUGAAGGUCUUAGGAUUGUAAAAUCCUUUCACCGGUGAAGAUAAUGACUGUAGCCGGAGAAGAAGCUCCGGCUAACUUCGUGCCAGCAGCCGCGGUAAUACGAAGGGGGCUAGCGUUGCUCGGAAUUACUGGGCGUAAAGGGCGCGUAGGCGGACAGCUUAGUCAGAGGUGAAAGCCCAGGGCUCAACCUUGGAAUUGCCUUUGAUACUGGCUGUCUUGAGUUUGGGAGAGGUGAGUGGAACUCCGAGUGUAGAGGUGAAAUUCGUAGAUAUUCGGAAGAACACCAGUGGCGAAGGCGACUCACUGGCCCAAUACUGACGCUGAGGCGCGAAAGCGUGGGGAGCAAACAGGAUUAGAUACCCCGGUAGUCC
rnacentral:rRNA from 1 species